ACGACACACUACUGAACAUCAUGUGUUCAUGACUCCAGCACUCUCACCAGGAAGCUCUCUGUUGUUUGUAUAUGAUGGUCUUUGAUAAGCCAAGUGCAUAAAGUAACUUGACAGUGUCCAUUAAUUUAAUAAUUAAAGGAAAAACAAUAACAGAUACUGAUUAUUCUGCCAUAACUCCAUCUUGUGUUGUCAAAAUGGGAAUCAAUUUCUUGCAGAAUAUUCACAGUGGGCACAGUCAGUCUUGUAUAUGUCACCAGGCCGGUCUAUAUCUCGUGCAUGGCCCCAGGCUGGUCUAUAUCCCGUGUAUGGCCUCAGGCCGGUCUAUAUCCUGUGCAUGGCCCCAGGCUGGUCUAUAUCCCGUGUAUGGCCUCAGGCCGGUCUAUAUCCUGUGCAUGGCCUCAGGCCGGUCUAUAUCCCGUGCAUGGCCCCUGGCCGGUCUAUAUCCCGUGCAUGGUCCCAGGCCAGUCUAUAUC